rnacentral:rRNA from 1 species
UACGUAGGGUGCGAGCGUUAAUCGGAAUUACUGGGCGUAAAGCGUGCGCAGGCGGUGAUGUAAGACAGGUGUGAAAUCCCCGGGCUUAACCUGGGAACUGCAUUUGUGACUGCAUCGCUGGAGUGCGGCAGAGGGGGAUGGAAUUCCGCGUGUAGCAGUGAAAUGCGUAGAUAUGCGGAGGAACACCGAUGGCGAAGGCAUCCCCUGGGCCUGCACUGACGCUCAUGCACGAAAGCGUGGGGAGCAAACAGG